GUGCAUCCCCUUUUAUCUACUUUAACAUCACCAAUUAGUAUUUUCUAUGACAUAAUUAUGGUAUGCGUUUUUAUAUAGUAUAUAUGUUUUAAGACUAGUUCUAUAUAUGUACGCGAUGAUCGUAUGAUUCUUCGAGUUUUUAACAGUUAUUAGAUGGUUUAGUCUAAAUAUUUCGUUCAUAAUUUUAAUAUUGUGUUAGCUUUUUUAUUAGAGUUUACAAAUUUAAUGUAUAUGAUAAGAUACUGAUAAAUAUGCGAGUUUUGUUUCUGAUUCAAUGAAAUUGUUUAAGGCACAUUUAAUUCAACACUCUUGUCUUUCAUUGGAAUACCAUUUUAUAUUAUAUUAUUUUGUUUACGAUUCAGUGCAGUUAAGUUUAGGGCAUUGGAAUACCUUUGUAGCUUAUUUUGUUUACAUUUUAUUGCAAUUAAGUUUAAGGCACAUUAAAUUCCACACUCUUGUCUUUCAGUGGGAUAUCUUUCAAAAUUAUUUUGUUUACCCUUCAGUUUAACGCACUCUUGCCUUUGUUUUGUCUUGUUUCAUGUUUUGCCGUUCUAAUAAUUGGUAAUAAAUUGUGAUUGAUUACCAUGUUUAUUUUCUCAUAACAAGAAUUUAGCAUGCAUGGUGAUAUAUAAAUAAGUCUAUAUUAAGAUAAGUAACUUUUUUCAUUAAUUUAAAUACUACCUGAAACUCUGACCGUUAUUGCAAGUCUGUAUUAAGAUAAAUAAACGUUUUCAUUAAUCUGUCCGUUAUGGUUGAUGCUCCUUUGAAUUUUAACUCGGUCCAUUCACAAUCUAUCAGAGGUUUCUAAUGUCACUUUGUUCAACCAUUUACGGAAAUAAGAUUUCAUUUCAGUUGCAGGUCAAACUUGACAAAUAUUUUGUGACCUGUUCAUACCACUCUCUAGGGCGGGAUGUUCUAAGGUACUAGGUGACAUUCUGUUUUUAAGAUUAUCUGGAACGCUUGCAGCAAGUUCUCAUUCACGAUAAAAUGUUUAAACCUUGAAAACUUGACAUACAAUUUCUGGUACUGUAUUGUUCUGUUCAUAACUCUUAUGUUAAAAGUAUAAAUUUAAACCCAGAUCAAGAUAUCAAAAUACAUAAAUGUAUCCUUUUAUUCAUGUCUAUAUAUUUUGAUGAAGAAAGCCGCCAUUAUUGAAAUAUAUAUUCAAGAUGAUUGUAGGUUGUAGGCGUGACUAUCAUCACCUGAUCGAAGGUCAAAGUCAUACAAAUGGGUUGAAAUCUGUGGUGUCUGAUGCACAUAUAGAUUAUGUGUUAUAGAACUAUGGUUCGAAGCCAGUACGUCGUUCCCACAGUCCUGUAGGAAAAUUGUUAUUGAUAAUGUUUUGUAAAAUGAUUUAUUUGUUGACUGCAUGCUUGUUUUCAAUUACGAUAGUUUUUAGCUCACCUGUCAGAAAGUGACAAGGUGAGCUUUUGUGAUCGCGUGGCGUCCGUCGUCCGUCGUCCGUCCGUGCGUCCGUCCGUAAACUUUUGCUUGUGACCACUCUAGAGGUCACAUUUUUCAUGGGAUCUUUAUGAAAGUUGGUCAGAAUGUUCACCUUGAUGAUAUCUAGGUCAAGUUCGAAACUGGGUCACGUGUCUUUAAAAACUAGGUCAGUAAGUCAAAUAAUAGAAAAACCUUGUGACCUCCCUAAAGGCCAUAUUUUUUAUGGGAUCUAUAUGAAAGUUGGUCAGAAUGUUUAUCUUGAUAAUAUCUAGAUCAAGUUCGAAACUGGGUCACGUGCGGUCAAAAACUAGGUCAGUAGGUCUAAAAAUAGAAAAACAUUGUGACCUCUCUAGAGGCCAUAUAUUUCAUGAGAUCUUCAUGAAAAUUGGUCAGAAUGUUCACCUUGAUGAUUUCUUAGUUAGUUUCGAAAGUGGGUCACGUGCCAUCAAAAACUAGGUCAGUAGGUCAAAUAAUAGAAAAACCUUGUGACCUCUCUAGAGGCCAUAUUUUUCAUGGGAUCUGUAUGAAAGUUGGUCUGAAUGUUCAUCUUGAUGAUAUCUAGGUCAAAUCCGAAACAGGGUCAUGUGCAGUCAAAAACUAGGUCAGUAGGUAUAAAAAAAGAAAAACCUUGUGACCUCUCUAUAGGCCAUAUAUUUCACAAAAUCUUCAUGAAAAUUGGUCAGAAUGUUUAUCUUGAUGAUAUCUAGGUCAAAUUCGAAAGUGGGUCACGUGCCUUUAAAAACUAGGUCAGUAGGUCUAAACAUAGAAAAACCUUGUGACCUCUCUAAAGGCCAUAUUUUUUAUGGUCUGUAUGAAAGUUGGUCUGAAUGUUCAUCUUGAUGAUAUCUAGGUCUAGUUUGAAAGUGGGUCACGUGCCUUCAAAACCUAGGUCAGUAGGUCAAAUAAUAGAAAAACUUUGUGACCUCUCUAGAGGCCAUAUUUUUCAUGGGAUCUGUAUGAAAAUUGGUCUGAAUGUUUACCUUGAUGAUAUAUAGGUCAAGUCCGAAACAGGGUCAUGUGCGGUCAAAAACUAGGUCAGUAGGUCUAAAAAUAGAAAAACCUUGUGACCUCUCUAGAGGCCAUAUAUUUCACUGGAUAUUCAUGAAAAUUAGUGAGAAUGUUUUCUUUGAUAAUAUCUAGCUCAAGUUCGAAACUGGGUCACGUGCCUUCAAAAACUAGGUCAGUAGGUCUAAAAAUAGAAAAACCUUGUGACCUCUCUAGAGGCAAUAUAUUUCACAAGAUCUUCAUGAAAAUUGGUCAGAACGUUCACCCUGAUGAUAUCUAGGUCAAGUUCGAAACUGGGUCACGUGCCGUCAAAAACUAGGUCAGUAGGUCAAAUAAUAGAAAAACAUUGUGACCUCUCUAAAGGCCAUAUUUUUCAUGGAAUCUGUAUGAAAGUUGGUCUGAAUGUUUAUCUUGAUAAUAUAUAGGUCAAGUUUGAAACUGGGUCAACUGCGAUAAAAAACUAGGUCAGUAGGUCUUGAAAUAGAAAAACCUUGUGACCUCUCUAGAGGCCAUACCCUUGAAUGGAUCUUCAUGAAAAUUAGUCAGAAUGUUCACCUUGAUGAUAUCUAGGUCAGGUUCGAAACUGGGUCACGUGUCUUAUAAAAAUAGGUCAGUAGGUCAAAUAAUGGAAAAACAUUGUGACCUCUCUAGAGGCCAUACUUUUCAUGGGAUCUGUAUGAAUGUUGGUCUGAAUGUUUUUCUUGAUAAUAUAUAGGUCAAGUUUGAAACUGGGUCAACUGCGAUAAAAAACUAGGUCAGUAGGUCUUGAAAUAGAAAAACCUUGUGACCUCUCUAGAGGCCAUACCCUUGAAUGGAUCUUCAUGAAAAUUAGUCAGAAUGUUCACCUUGAUGAUAUCUAGGUCAGGUUCGAAACUGGGUCACGUGUCUUAUAAAAAUAGGUAAGUAGGUCAAAUAAUAAAAAAACCUUGAGACCUCUCUAGAGGCCAUACUUUUCAUUGGAUCUGUAUGAAAGUUAGUCUGAAUGUUCAUCUUGCUGAUAUCUAGGUCAAGUUCGAAACUGGGUCAGCUACGAUCACAAACUAGGUCAGUAGGUCUAAAAUUAGAAAAAUUUUUUGACCUCUCUAGAGGCCAUAUUUUUCAAUGGAUCUUCAUGAAAAUUGAUCUGAAUGUUCACCUUGAAGAUAUCUAGGUCAGUUUCGAAACUGGGUCACGUGCCGUCAAAAACUAGGCCAGUAGGUAUAAAAAUAGAAAAACCUUGUGACCUCUCUAGAGGCCAUAUUUUUCAUGAGAUUUUCAUGAAAAUUAGUGAAAAUGUUCACCUUGAUGAUAUCUAGGUAAAGUUCAAAACAGGGUUACGUACCUUCGAAAACUAGGUCAAUAGGUCAAAUAAUAGGAAAACCUUGUGACCUCUCUAGAGACCAUAUUUUUCAAUGGAUCUUCAUGAAAAUUGGUCAGAAUUUUUAUCUUGAUAAUAUGUAGGUCAAGUUCAAAACUGGGUCACAUGAGCUCAAAAACUAGGUCACUAUGUCAAAUAAUAGAAAAAACGACAUCAUACUCAAAACUGGGUCAUGUGGGAAGAGGUGAGCGAUUUAGGACCAUCAUGGUCCUCUUGUUUUUUAUCUUAACUGGUAUUUUUCCUCAGUCUUUCGGCAACUUUAUACAUCGAAUAUGUGUUUUAAUUAUUGUUGUUAAAAUUGUUGUUGUUUUAAUUUAUAUUAACUUUUUUUUGAAAGAAAGUGUUCAUACUUCGUAUAUAUGUCUGAUAUUUCACACAUUCUUGUAGUGUGUAUGAUUAAAAUAAUUGACCAACAAUGUUGACACAAAUGAAUGAUAUGUCGUUAAUAUAACAUUUAUUUAUAUCACCUAAACACAAAGUGAUCGAGGAUGAGCUAUUGUUUUCUCCGUUUCUCUGUCCAGUCGUCCUCCGCUAGUUUUAAUACUGUUAUAGAGUGUAUGUAGCCAGACAAAUUGUCAAGUUAGGUAUUGAUUAAGCUUGUUUAUACAUAAUAGCUUAUGAUCCGUAGGUAGUCAUCAUUAUACUUACACAGUAUGUAUGAAAUUAUAAAAUUUCGGACAAUCUAGAUACUGGGUAAGGGGAAGUGUGCUUCAAAAUACCUGAGAUAUAUGGUCAUUGACUAACGUUGCAAUUGUAAUGAUUUUGUGUGUGACUACUAGUUGCAAUCUGAUUAUCUCAACCUUAAUGCUACCUCUUGUAUGUAAGGCGCAAUAUCGGACAACGUUCAGACACAUUACGGUAAAAGGGCGGUCAACUUUUAAGACAUUGUGAGAAUACUGUUUAAUAAGAAAACAUUUCUUUAAAAUUGAAAAGCUAUGUAGAAAUAAUGUAAAGAACUUUGGAGGUGUUUGCUGCUCUCGGAAGUUGAAUAUUUAAUAGAAUGUGAAAUUUGCUUAUCAAUGCAAGUACUUGACCCUGUAUUACCUUUGAAAGAGAGCUGCGGAUUCAGUAAAAGUCGUUGGUCUUGACACCACUUGUCAAAUCGUCUUAAAUACUAUCACACGAGGCUUUUGUAUGAAGAGAGAACGUGUCUUGGAGUUUCAUCGGAAUUACGUGAAUGCCUUAUGUACUCACCAUGAUGCUGGAACAGACUUCAAAGAGUCUUUCGAGACAUCUGGAAAACAGCUCAUCUGAACAUCUACUAAUUAUAGAAUUUACAUGUUUGGACUGAUGGAGAAUCCAUGCUGCAUGAUACUUAACUGGAUACUGCAUAAUUCAUCAAUUUGAAAAGGUUAUCAUCAU